UUAGCGGCGGACGGGUGAGUAACACGUGGGCAACCUACCUUAUAGUUUGGGAUAACUCCGGGAAACCGGGGCUAAUACCGAAUAAUCUGUUUCACCUCAUGGUGAAAUAUUGAAAGACGGUUUCGGCUGUCGCUAUAGGAUGGGCCCGCGGCGCAUUAGCUAGUUGGUGAGGUAACGGCUCACCAAGGCGACGAUGCGUAGCCGACCUGAGAGGGUGAUCGGCCACACUGGGACUGAGACACGGCCCAGACUCCUACGGGAGGCAGCAGUAGGGAAUCUUCCACAAUGGGCGAAAGCCUGAUGGAGCAACGCCGCGUGAGUGAAGAAGGAUUUCGGUUCGUAAAACUCUGUUGUAAGGGAAGAACAAGUACAGUAUUAACUGGCUGUACCUUGACGGUACCUUAUUAGAAAGCCACGGCUAACUACGUGCCAGCAGCCGCGGUAAUACGUAGGUGGCAAGCGUUGUCCGGAAUUAUUGGGCGUAAAGCGCGCGCAGGUGGUUUCUUAAGUCUGAUGUGAAAGCCCACGGCUCAACCGUGGAGGGUCAUUG
rnacentral:rRNA from 1 species